ensembl:lncRNA MIR3945HG MIR3945 host gene
AGACUUAACUGCAGGGACUCUUGGUGACUAGUCUCUGUGGUGCACACUCUCCACCCUACCACCAAAAAGGUCCCCAGUACCCUAAAAGGAACUAUGUACUCAAAUAUCACCUCAAAUAAGAUGAGGUCUUUCUGAGAGAAAAGAGAUGUUGAUGCACGUGACGGGGAGGGCAUAGGAGAGGGUUGAUAUAAAAUGCAAUUACAGCCUCUUAUGCUUUCCAAAGUGGGGGAUGAUUCAAUGAUUCCUGACUGGUCCACAGCCAUAUAUCAAUUGAGGUUAUAAUACUAAUUUGAAUUGCAAAUCUCUGAAAAGAAGGGGACAAGCUAAGGAGAUAAAAUUUAACAGGCCUCUUCCUCCUGCUUGCCACCUCUCAGUCACAAGACGGCUGCUGCGACUCAGGCUCAUGUCCCAAUUCAAGGCAGCAAGAAGGCCAUGGAGCGGCACCUGCCAGCAGAUGCCCCUGCAGGCCAUCUCUCCAGGCUCAGGAACCUAAAGAAGAAUCUACCCAGAUGUGGUGGCUCACACCUGUGAUCCCACCACUUUGGGAGGCUGAGGCAAGAGGAUCACUUGAGCCCAGGAGUUGGAGACCAACGUAGGCAAUACAGCAAGACUCCCAUCUCUACAAAAAAAAAAAAGAAAGAAAGAAAGAAAGAAAAGAAAUUAGCUGGCUGUGGUGCUGCACAUUUGUAAUACCAGCUACUCUAGAGGCUGAGGCUGGAGGAUCACUUGAGCCGAGGAGUGAGCUAUGACCACACCAUUGCAUUUCAGCCUCAGUGACAGAGCAAGGCCCUGCCUCAAAAAAAAAAAAAAAAAAAGAAAAGAAUAAGAUAAAAUAAAUAAUACAGGAGAACCUAGUGCUCAGGUUCUCUAGUGAAGAGGAAGGCAAAAGAUAGAAAGGUCAGACAAACUUAAACAUGCAUUCCAAGAUCGGCCUGGGUCCGCCCGUAGACAUGAAGGAAUCUUCUGGUGGAAAGUUAGGCAGGGAAACGGACACUGCUAUGAGCAUGUCUUCCUGGGCAGCUUGCGAUGGUCAGGAGGAGGUGGUUGUUCCUCAGCAGCGGUGCUUCCGAUGAAGCCCCAUGUUGUAGUGGAAGACAAGCCAUUCCUGUCUGACCUUCUGUGCCGCGCCUAGGCUUCCAAAAGCUGCUAUCGCCAAGAUCCAUUUCCGUUCACCUUUAAACUGCUUGUUAUGGGGAGGAGUCAGCCAGCCAUGAUGCAUACUUGUUACAGAAAGAAACGCCCACGUUGAGCUCUCCUGAUAAGAAGAGAGAGCAUUCGUCAUUGUCUGUAUCUGUCAUCUGAAGAAGGAACCAAUGUCAAAAAUCCCACACAUUCUCCUCCCGCAAGUCACAGAGUAAGCCUCCCAUUCUUGAGCUCGUUCAUUCACCAAACACAUUCUGAUCUCUCCUGUGCCCAGGCGGUGGGAUUCAGAGAAGAAGUGCUGCCUAGUAGUCAGCACCCAGUGCCAGGAAAACAGGACAAGGGGAGUUGUCGGGGGAGACACCAGGAUUGAAGUUGCUUUUACUAAAAAACAUUUUUUUUAUCUUGUUAACAAAUAUAUUUACCAUGGUACAUGGUGGCAAUGCUCUCAGUUUUAAAACACAGCAAUUAUCUUCCAGUGGUCACUAAUUAAUCCAGGUGUGGCUAGGAACAGCUGGAUACUGAUCUGUGUGAUGAUGGCACCUCUAUCAUCAGGCUGCCAUUGCUGGCACUUUGGGCAAGGUGGACUGGGGUUCUGCUCUGGGGCUGUGUGCCCAAGGUUUACACCUCACUAUUUUACAGCACACUGGAGCUCCCAACAGUCCCCGAAGGUCUGGAGAUCACCAAUGGGCAGGAGAGAAGGGAGGGGUUUAGACAUCAGGGAGCCAAGUUCUACAGCAUCUUCUAGAUCCAGGCUAUCGAGCACUUGAAAUGCGGCUAAGUCUGAAUUGAGAUGUGCUGUGUGUAAGAGACACAACAGAUUUUGAAGACAGUAUGAGAAAAAGAACAUAAAAUAUCUCAGUAAUUUUAUAUUGAUUACAUGUUGAAAUGAUACUAAUUUUUGAUAUACUGGGUUAAAUAAAAUAGAUUAUUAAAAUUAA